CAGAGGCGGCCGGUCCCGGGCAGGCUCGGGGCGGCCGCGGGGAUGCGGCGCUGAGCGCUCCGGCUGCCCGUCGGUCUGUCCGUCCUUCCGUCCGCCACUCAGUCAGUCACCCCGCACGCCGAGAUCCCCCUUCCCGCAGCCCAUGAUGUGCCUGGAAAGCGACGGCUCGUCCGGCAGCAGCCCGGGCUGCGGCGGGCGGCUGCGAGCCGGCGACGAGGAGGAGGAGGAGGACGGCGAGCGGGGCUGCUGCGGCCGGGGCGCCGAGGGCGAGGUGCAGACCCUGUCGGGCAGGAUGAACCCGCCGGCGGGCGGCAAGCACCCCGACCGCCCCGCCGCCCUCCGCAAGGCGCCGAGCCUCGGCCGGGCCCGGGUGGCGGCCGCCGGCAUCCUCAGCGUGGGCAACGUGCUCAACUACCUGGACCGGUACACGGUGGCAGGUGUGUUAUUGGACAUCCAGCAGCACUUUGGAGUCAAAGACAGCGGGGCUGGUUUGUUACAGACAGUUUUCAUCUGCAGUUUCAUGGUGGCGGCGCCGAUCUUUGGUUACCUCGGUGACCGUUUCAACAGGAAGAUCAUCCUCAGCUGUGGGAUCUUCUUUUGGUCAGCUGUCACUUUUUCGAGCUCCUUCAUCACUGAACAGUAUUUCUGGCUCCUGGUGCUCUCCCGGGGUCUGGUUGGCAUCGGAGAGGCGAGUUACUCCACCAUUGCCCCAACCAUCAUCGGAGACCUGUUCACCAAAAACACGAGGACCCUCAUGCUCUCUGUCUUCUACUUUGCAAUUCCUCUGGGCAGUGGCUUGGGAUACAUCACUGGGUCCAGCGUGAAGCAGGUUGCUGGAGACUGGCACUGGGCCUUGAGGGUAUCUCCACUCCUGGGAAUGAUAACAGGGACACUCAUCUUGAUAUUUGUUCCUGCUGCUAAAAGAGGAAAUGCUGAACAACUUGGGGGGCAGCUGAAGGCUCGGACCUCGUGGCUGAGAGACAUGAAAGCACUGAUUAGAAACCGCAGCUACGUGUUCUCCUCCCUGGCCACCUCGGCCGUCUCCUUUGCCACGGGGGCACUUGGCAUGUGGAUCCCUCUGUACCUGCACAGGGCACAGGUGGUGCAGAAGACAGCAGAGACCUGCAGCUCGCAGCCCUGCGGCACCAAGGAUAGCUUGAUCUUCGGGGCCAUCACGUGCUUCACUGGCUUCCUGGGUGUCAUCACGGGGGCGGGAGCGACCAAGUGGUGCCGGCUGAAGACGCAGCGGGCGGACCCGCUGGUGUGUGCCGUGGGCAUGCUGGGCUCUGCCAUCUUCAUCUGCCUCAUCUUCGUGGCUGCCAAGAGCAGCAUCGUGGGAGCCUAUAUUUGCAUUUUUAUCGGAGAAACUCUUCUGUUUUCAAACUGGGCUAUCACAGCAGACAUUCUGAUGUACGUGGUGAUCCCCACACGCCGGGCGACCGCAGUGGCCUUGCAGAGCUUCACUUCACACCUCCUGGGAGAUGCUGGCAGUCCUUAUCUCAUUGGAUUUAUCUCAGACCUGAUACGACAAAGCACAAAGGAGUCCCCGGUGUGGGAGUUCCUCAGCCUGGGUUACGCCCUCAUGCUCUGCCCCUUCGUCGUUGUCCUGGGAGGGAUGUUCUUCCUGGCCACAGCCCUGUUCUUCCUCAGUGACCGAGCCAAAGCUGAACAACAUAAAGAAACCGAUUCGGAUCAACUCACGGUUGGCAACUACAGUAAUUCAGAAGACGCUUCCACAUGACAUACAAACUUCUGGGGGUGAACCAACUUGUGAUGCCACCAGCCUCUGUGAAAGUCUGAGACGGUGCCUCCGAAGGAAAGGACACGUGGACUCUGCUCCCACCACACCAAUCUCAAGCUCGAAGCCCUUCCGUGCUGGAUACCAGUGGAUCCUCCAGCUCCACACCACCCCGAGGGGUUCUCCAGCACCAAAUCCAUCCCCCCACUCCAGCCUGCGGGGUCAGGCACCAGGAGAUGGAGCAGGGCAGGCAGGGACACGGGACCUGCUGCAGCACGAGGACAGCUGUUCCUCUGAGCAUCAGCAACUGGCCCCCGGACCCAAAACGUGCUGCCCACGUGAGUGACUGUAGAUUGUGUACAUGGUUCUAGUUGUAGCCAAUGAAGUCCACAUGGUUUGUAGGACUGGUGUCCUCUGGAAUGCUGCUGCUCUGCCAGCACUCCCACACCCACCGACUGCACUAGCUGGGGACCCGCUCUGUACAUCACCUUUGCUUUGACACUGAAGGCUCAACUCAGAUUAUUAUUUUUUAUUUAAAUAUGUCAUAAGAUGCUUUAUCUCUGCUGAAGACAUUAGAUGAGAUAUAUAUAUAUAUAUUUAGAUAGACAGUUUUUAUUUAAACGUUUAAAACCUGGAGCUGCCUGUGCAACCACAGCAGACAUGAGUAACGUCCACAGCUCUCCCUGGCUCAGUGCCCUGCAAGAGUUCCAGUGGGUGACCUCCCUGUCACCUGAGGCUGAGCAAUGGGCAGAGGAGAGAGAGUCUCACUGCACUGGGAAUGCUGGUGGUUGUCACAGAAAGGCCCAGUACGUUGGACAGAAAUCCCUACGGGCUCUGGAGUUUUCAAAUUCAGCCUCGCCUGGGAGGUUCACAGGCUUUUAAAAUACCAAAAUCCACCUGGCUGAAUCGCUGAACCUCGGGCCUGGGAGUGCAAUACUGCUGUGCCAGUGACCUCGUGCUUUGUUUACAUGCUGCCAUAUCACACGGACUGCCGAUGCUAAUUCUCCCUGUCAGUGUUCCAAAGCAGUGGCUGAUACUCUGUUUCCUGGGAGCAGUGUUUGGGCUCCUGCACACCCAACCCUGCCCAGUCCAAGUGCUCUCCCUGGGGUGUCACCUGUACCUUCACAAAGGUGCGUUUGAGACCUCUCAGACAAAGCCAGUGUCUGAACUGGGCGAGUCUCAAGUGCAGGGACGUGUCAUGGGGCCACUUCACUGGGGUUUUGUUUCCUUGUUC